rnacentral:rRNA from 1 species
UACGUAGGUGGCAAGCGUUGUCCGGAGUUAUUGGGCGUAAAGCGCGCGCAGGCGGUGCGGUAAGUCUCUGGUGAAAGCGCUCGGCUUAACUGGGCGAGGGCCGGGGAGACUGCCACGCUGGAGGGGAGCAGAGGCGAGUGGAAUUCCGGGUGUAGUGGUGAAAUGCGUAGAGAUCCGGAGGAACACCAGUGGCGAAGGCAGGUCUCUGGGCAUUAACUGACGCUGAGGAGCGAAAGCAUGGGGAGCGAACAGG